rnacentral:rRNA from 1 species
UUCUGGUUGAUCCUGCCGGAGGUUACUGCUAUCGGCGUUCGACUAAGCCAUGCGAGUCAUAUGUUCUUCGUGAACAUGGCGGACUGCUCAGUAACACGUGGAUAACCUGCCCUUAGGUUUGGCAUAACUCCGGGAAACUGGAGAUAAUUCCGAAUAGGUCAAAUAUGCUGGAAUGCUUUUUGGCCAAAAGACCUCGGUUGCCUAAGGAUGGAUCUGCGGUCUAUCAGGUAGUAGUGGGUGUAACGUACCUACUAGCCUACGACGGAUAUGGGUUGUGAGAGCAAGAGCCCAGAGAUGGAUUCUGAGACAUGAAUCCAGGCCCUACGGGGCGCAGCAGGCGCGAAAACUUUACAAUGCGGGAAACCGCGAUAAGGGGACACCGAGUGCCAGCAUUUAUGUUGGCUGUCCACAUGUGUAAACGGCAUGUGUUAGCAAGGGCCGGGCAAGACCGGUGCCAGCCGCCGCGGUAACACCGGCGGCCCGAGUGGUAAUCACUUUUAUUGGGUCUAAAGGGUCCGUAGCCGGUUUGAUCAGUUCUUCGGGAAAUCUGACAGCUCAACUGUUAGGCUUCCGGGGAAUACUGUCAGACUUGGGACCGGGAGAGGUAAGAGGUACUACAGGGGUAGGAGUGAAAUCUUGUAAUCCCUGUGGGACCACCAGUGGCGAAGGCGUCUUACCAGAACGGGUCCGACGGUGAGGGACGAAAGCUGGGGGCACGAACCGGAUUAGAUACCCGGGUAGUCCCAGCCGUAAACGAUGUUCGCUAGGUGUCAGGGGCGGUGCGACCGCUUCUGGUGCCGUAGGGAAGCCGUGAAGCGAACCACCUGGGAAGUACGGCCGCAAGGCUGAAACUUAAAGGAAUUGGCGGGGGAGCACUACAACGGGUGGAGCCUGCGGUUUAAUUGGAAUCAACGCCGGA